rnacentral:rRNA from 1 species
UACGUAGGGUGCGAGCGUUAAUCGGAAUUACUGGGCGUAAAGCGUGCGCAGGCGGUUUUGUAAGCCAGAUGUGAAAGCCCCGGGCUUAACCUGGGAAUGGCAUUUGGGACUGCAAGGCUGGAGUGUGGCAGAGGAGACUGGAAUUCCUGGUGUAGCAGUGAAAUGCGUAGAUAUCUGGAGGAAUACCGGUGGCGAAGGCGGCAUCCUGGACCGAGAUUGACGCUGAUGAGCGAAAGCUAGGGGAGCAAACGGG